rnacentral:lncRNA from 1 species
UGGAGCGCAUGUCGCCGGAGGAGCUCCUCGGGAUGUCCAAGCCCGACUACCAGUGUUGGUGCCUCGACGAUGACCGGCAAUAAUACUGUCGAGAGCCGGAAUUCGAAUCUUGGUUGGCGGUUUAAUUUACUUGGUCGUGAUGAUUCAAAAUCCACGUACCUCGGAUGGAUAGCGGCCGUACCUAGCGACGACGUGGUGGUCGAAUAAAUCACAGUUUUGUUUCGUUGGUUAGGACCGAUUUUACUGCCGGGUGACCUAGGCUGAACCAGGCGCGUUGGGGUCGUCUGGAGCGCCGGGGUAAAUGUUUUUGGCGGAACCUGUCUGAGUCAGCGACUAGACGGGUUCGUCGUUCUCAUUGUCUCGUUUUUCAGCGGGGAAUCAAUGCGAAGGUUUUUGUCGAUCAUCCUAUAUUGAUUCCUCACGGACGACGUAGUGAAGGCGUCGACACGCGUCCUGCCCCCUCCCGCCACACGUACACACGGCUGUCGUCCGCUCGCUGCCCACCCGCGGCUAUAUAAGUCAUCUCUCCCUCAUCAGUGGCCACACACCUCUUGCCCCCCUUCUCCCUCUCUCGCCGUCGACGCCCCUCUCCCCCUUUCGUCGUACCACCACCAUGGCCAAGCGCUAACCCGGUGGCGGAGCGGCGACAAAUGGCUUCAGCCGCCGCCACCUCUAUGAGGUGGACUACCCGGUGCCAAUGAACAUGCGGGUGUCGGGCUCGUGAAGGCUGAGCGCCCGUGGAGUUCCGGUGUCACCACCGCCAUGUGGAGCUGACCGGCGCGCGGAGAUCGCACGCAUCCGGUCAUCGCUGUCGGAGAGCUCGCGGAACCAGCCGAGGUAUUGCCCCCGACAGCAACACGUUGUGGAUGACGUACUUCGAACGCCGCCACACCGAACCACUCGCCGCCACCAACGGUGCCGAAUCCCGCGGCCGCUUCAACACCGAGGGGCGACACCUUAUGGUGGGGCGUCCCUGGCCGCACACUGGACGCCGUCCUCGAGCACAUCGAGGACGGCAGCUCACCGCGGUUGGAGUACCCGGUGCCCCCCUCCUUCUCUUGCCGCUGCGACAGCUCAUGGACGCCGAGGCGCAUGGAGACGGCAUCCUCCUCCUCGUCCGGCUCCCGCUCCCGCACCUCCGGGUCGCCGGCACUCCUCCCCAUCAAGCCGGAGCCACGGGAGAUGCCGCUCGGGCGGCGCACGCAUAGCGGCGACCUCGUCAUUAACUAGGCCUCCUUCUCCCGCCUCGUCAAGCCGAAGGCCGAGCCAAGCGCUCCUCCCAGUGAAGAAGUAGCACGAGGCCAGGGCCGCCGACCAGGAGACUGCGCUCAAAUGGACGCAGGACGGCUAUGUUCGGGAGGAGAUGGAGCACCAGCGACGCGCCCUCGAAAAAGCGUCUAGGGCGGCCUUGGGGGCGGCAAGGAACCCGUGCCCCCCCCCCGACACACACACACCGAUUUUGUCGCUGGCGCGCCCCCAAGCGGCGCUAUUUCAUCCCCUGGGGUGCCAAAAGACUGGAGACGCUCUAAGUUACCUGAAUUUGCUUUCAACAAAAAAGUUACCUGAAUUUCAAAGAUGUGGGUCAUUUGAUUUUGUUUCAAAGGAGUCAAUUGCAAAAAACCACCAUACCUGUGGCUAGGUUUGCAAGAAACUACCAACUCGUUAAUCCGUUGCAGAAAACACUAAAAACUCUUAAGUCGUUGCGAAAAGCACUAAUCAGCCGUUUAGGCUCGUCUGGCCCCUUUUCUGACAGGUGGGCCCGGAAAACGCCGACGUGGCAUAGCGGCUGGACAGACGACGUCAUUUGGAUUAAUUGCAAGAAACCACUACAUUUGCGGCUAGGUUUGUAGAAAACAACCAACUCGUUAAUCGGUUGCAAAAAAACCGCGUUAGCAGUAAAGUCCUCGAGGGAACAGCCGCCGCAGUCCGGGCAGGCCAUGUCGGCCCUGUUGGGGAACGUCGCAUGGGAAACAAAAAAUUUCCUACGCGCACGAAGACCUAUCAUGGUGAUGUCCAUCUACGAGAGGGAAUAUUCGAUCUACGUACCCUUGUAGAUCGCACAGCAAAAGCGUUCAGAAAUGCGGUUGAUGUAGUGGAACGUCCUCACGUCCCUCGAUCCGCCCCGCGAACCGUCCCGCGAUCCGUCCCACGAUCUAGUGCUGAACGGACGGCAUCUCCGCGUUCAACACACGUACAGCUCGACGAUGAUCUCGGCCUUCCUGAUCCAGCAAGAGAGACGGAGAGGUAGAUGAGUUCUCCGGCAGCGUGACGGUGCUCCGGAGGUUGGUGGUGAUCUAAUCUCAGCACGGCUCCGCCCGAACUCCGCAGAAACGCGAUCUAGAGGUAAAACCGUGGAGAUAUGUGGUCGGGCUGCCGUGGCAAAGUUGUCUCAAAUCAGCCCUAAAACCUCUGUAUAUAUAGGUGGGAGAGGGGGGGGUCCUUGCCUUGGGGCUCAAGGAGCCCCAAGGGGGUCGGCCGAGCCAAGGGGGGGAGUCCUCCCCUUCCAAACCGAAUCCAACUAGGUUUGGAAGGAGGAGUCCUUCCCCUUUUUCCCACCUCCUCUUUUUUUUUCUUUUUUCUUUGAUUUUCUUCCUAUGGCGCAUAGGGCCUUCUUGGGCUGUCCCACCAGCCCACUAAGGGCUGGUGUGCCACCCCCAAGGCCUAUGGGCUUCCCCGGGGUGGGUUGGCCCCCCCCCCCGGUGAACACCCGGAACCCAUUCGUCAUUCCCGAUACAUUUCCGGUAACUCCGAAAACCUUCCGGUAAUCAAAUGAGGUCAUCCUAUAUAUCAAUCUUCAUUUCCGGACCAUUCCGGAAACCCUCGUGACGUCCGUGAUCUCAUCCGGGACUCCGAACAACAUUCGGUAACCAACCAUAUAACUCAAAUACGCAUAAAACAACAUCGAACCUUAAGUGUGCAGACCCUGCGGGUUCGAGAACUAUGCAGACAUGACCCGAGUGACUCCUCGGUCAAUAUCCAAUAGCGGGACCUGGAUGCCCAUAUUGGAUCCCACAUAUUCUACGAAGAUCUUAUCGUUUGAACCUCAGUGCCAAGGAUUCAUAUAAUCCCGUAUGUCAUUCCCUUUGUCCUUCGGUAUGUUACUUGCCCGAGAUUCGAUCGUCAGUAUCCGCAUACCUAUUUCAACCUCGUUUACCGGCAAGUCUCUUUACUCGUUCCGUAAUACAAGAUCCCGCAACUUACACUAAGUCACAUUGCUUGCAAGGCUUGUGUGUGAUGUUGUAUUACCGAGUGGGCCCCGAGAUACCUCGCCGUCACACGGAGUGACAAAUCCCAGUCUCGAUCCAUACUAACUCAACGAACACCUUCGGAGAUACCUGUAGAGCAUCUUUAUAGUCACCCAGUUACGUUGCGACGUUUGAUACACACAAAGCAUUCCUCCGGUGUCAGUGAGUUAUAUGAUCUCAUGGUCAUAGGAACAAAUACUUGACACGCAGAAAACAGUAGCAACAAAAUGACACGAUCAACAUGCUACGUCUAUUAGUUUGGGUCUAGUCCAUCACGUGAUUCUCCUAAUGACGUGAUCCAGUUAUCAAGCAACAACACCUUGUUCAUAAUCAGAAGACCCUGACUAUCUUUGAUCAACUGGCUAGCCAACUAGAGGCUUGCUAGGGACAGUGUUUUGUCUAUGUAUCCACACAUGUAUAUAAGUCUUUAUUCAAUACAAUUAUAGCAUGGAUAAUAAACGAUUAUCUUGAUACAGGAAUUAUAAUAAUAACUAUAUUUAUUAUUGCCUCUAGGGCAUAAUUCCAACAGUCUCCCACUUGCACUAGAGUCAAUAAUCUAGCCCUCACAUCAUCAUGCGAAUUACAUUGUAAUAAAUCUAACACCCAUACAGUUCUGGUGUUGAUCAUGCUUUGCCCGUGGAAGAGGUUUAGUGAGCGGGUCUACUACAUUUGGAUCCGUGUGCACUUUGCAUAUAUUUACGUCCUCCCCUUCGACGUAGUCGCGGAUGAGGUUGAAGCGUCGUUUGAUGUGUCUGGUCUUCUUGUGAAACCGUGGUUCCUUUGCUAAGGCAAUGGCACCCGUGUUGUCACAGAACAAGGUUAUUGGAUUCAGUGCGCUUGGCACCACUCCAAGAUCCGUCAUGAACUGCUUCAUCCAGACACCCUCCUUAGCCGCCUCCGAGGCAGCCAUAUACUCCGCUUCACAUGUAGAAUCUGCUACGACGCUUUGCUUGGAACUGCACCAGCUUACCGCACCCACAUUAAGAAUAAAUACGUAUCCGGUCUGUGACUUAGAGUCGUCCGGAUCUGUGUCAAAGCUUGCAUCGACGUAACCCUUUACGGCGAGCUCUUCGUCACCUCCAUACACGAGAAACAUCUCCUUAGUCCUUUUCAGGUACUUCAGGAUAUUCUUGACCGCCGUCCAGUGAUCCACUCCUGGAUUACUCUAGAACCUGCCUGCCAUACUUAUGGCCAGGCUAACGUCCGGUCUAGUGCACAACAUUGCAUACAUGAUAGAACCUAUGGCUGAAGCAAAGGGGACGGUGCUCAUAUGCUCUCUAUCCUCAUCAGUUGCUGGGCACUGAGUCUUACUCAAUCUCGUACCUUGUAAAACUGGCAAGCACCCUUUCUUGGACUGUUCCAUUUUGAACCUCUUCAAAACUUUAUCAAGGUAUGUGCUUUGUGAAAGUCCUAUCAGGCGUUUUGAUCUAUCACUGUAGAUCUUAAUGCCUAGAAUGUAAGCAACUUCUCCUAGGUCCUUCAUAGAGAAACUUUUAUUCAAGUACUCCUUUAUGCUCUCCAAAAACUCUACGUUGUUUCCAAUCAGCAAUAUGUCAUCCACAUAUAAUAUUAGAAACGCCACAGAGCUCCCACUCACUUUCUUGUAAAUACAAGAUUCUCCAACCACUUGUAUAAACCCAAAUGCUUUGAUCACCUCAUCAAAGCGUUUGUUCCAACUCCGAGAUGCUUGCACCAGUCCAUAAAUGGAUCGCUGGAGCUUGCACACCUUGUUAGCAUUCUUAGGAUCGAAAAAACCUUCGGGUUGCAUCAUAUACAACUCUUCCUUAAGGAAACCGUUAAGGAACGCCGUUUUGACAUCCAUCUGCCAGAUUUCAUAAUCGAAAAAUGCAGCUAUUGCUAACAUGAUUCUGAUGGACUUAAGCAUCGCUACGGGUGAGAAUGUCUCAUCGUAGUCAACUUCUUGAACUUGUGAAAAACCCUUUGCCACAAGUCGAGCUUUAUAAACGGUCACAUUGCCGUCAGCGUCCGUCUUCUUCUUAAAGAUCCAUUUGUUCUGAAUAGCCUUGUGGCCCUCAGGUAGUACUUCCAAAGUCCACACUUUGUUCUCAUACAUGGAUCCUAUCUCGGACUUCAUGGCCUCUAGCCAUUUGUUGGAAUCUGGGCCCACCAUUGCUUCUUCAUAAUUUGCAGGUUCAUUGUUGUCUAACAACAUGAUUGACAAAACGGGAUUACCGUACCACUCUGGAGCAGCGCGUGGUCUCGUCGACCUGCGUGGUUCAACAGGAACUUGAACCGGAGUUUCAUGAUCAUCAUCAUUAACUUCCUCCUCAACCGGCGUCGCAACGACAGAGGUUUCCCCUUGCCCUGCGCCACCAUCUAGAGGUUCGACAACCUCAUCAAGUUCUAUCUUCCUCCCACUCAAUUCUCUCGAGAGAAACUCCUUCUCGAGAAAAGCUCCGUUUUUAGCAACAAACACUUUGCCCUCGGAUUUGAGAUAGAAGGUGUACCCAACUGUCUCUUUUGGGUAACCUAUGAAGAUGCACUUUUCCGCUUUGGGUUCCAGCUUUUCAGGCUGAAGCUUUUUGACAUAAGCAUCACAUCCCCAAACUUUAAGAAACGACAACUUUGGCCUUUUGCCAUACCACAGUUCGUAUGGUGUCGUCUCAACGGAUUUUGAUGGUGCCCCAUUUAAAGUGAAUGCAGCUGUGUCUAAUGCAUAACCCCAAAACGAUAACGGCAAAUCGGUAAGAGACAUCAUAGAUCGCACCAUCUCUAAUAAAGUACGAUUACGACGUUCGGACACACCAUUACACUGUGGUGUUCCAGGCGGUGUCAACUAUGAAACAAUUCCACAUUGUCUUAAGUGAGCACCAAACUCGAAACUCAGAUAUUCACCCCCACGAUCAGACCGUAGGAACUUGAUCUUCUUUUUACGAUGAUUUUCAACUUCACUUUGAAAUUGCUUGAACUUUUCAAAUGUUUCAGACUUGUGCUUCGUUAAGUAGACAUAACCAUAUCUACUCAAAUCGUCAGUGAAGGUGAGAAAAUAACGAUAUCCGCCGCGUGCCUCUACGCUCAUCGGACCGCACACAUCGGUAUGUAUGAUUUCCAACAAGUCACCGGCACGCUCCAUUGUUCCGGAGAACGGAGUUUUAGUCAUCUUGCCCAUGAGGCAUGGUCCGCACGUGUCAAGUGAAUCAAAGUCAAGUGACUCCAAAAGUCCAUCGGCAUGGAGUUUCUUCAUGCGUUUUACACCAAUAUGACCUAAGCGACAGUGCCACAAAAAUAUGGCGCUAUCAUUGUUAACUCUAACUCUUUUGGUCUCAAUCUUAUGUAUAUGUGUAUCACUAUCAAGAUUCAAUAUGAACAAUCCUCUCACAUUGGGUGCAUGACCAUAAAAGAUGUUACUCAUAGAAAUAGAACAACCAUUAUUCUCUGACUUAAAAGAGUAUCCGUCUCGCAAUAAACAAGAUCCAGAUAUAAUGUUCAUGCUCAACGCAGGCACUAAAUAACAAUUAUUCAAGUUCAUAACUAAUCCUGAUGUAACUGAAGUGAAACUGUGCCGACGGCGAUUGCAUCAACCUUGGAACCAUUUCCUACGCGCAUCGUCACUUCAUCUUUCGCCUUUAGCCUUCGUCUAUUCCGCAGUUUCUGUUUCGAGUUGCAAAUAUGAGCAACAGAACCGAUAUCGAAUACCCAAGCACUACUAUGAGAGCCGGUUAAGUACACAUCAAUAACAUGUAUAUCAAAUAUACCUGAUUUUUCUUUGGCCGCCUUCUUAUCAGCCAGAUACUUGGGGCAGUUGCGCUUCCAGUGACCCAUACCCUUGCAAUAGUAGCACUCUGUUUCAGGCUUAGGUCCAGCUUUGGGUUUCUUCGUCGGAUUGGCAACAGGCUUGCCGCUCUUCUUUGAAUUACCCUUCUUGCAUUUGCCGUUUCUCUUGAAACUAGUGGUCGUAUUCACCAUCAACACUUGAUGCUCUUUACGGAGUUCAGACUCUGUGACUUUCAGCAUCGCAAACAACUCGCCGGGUGACUUGUUCAUCCCUUGCAUGUUGUAGUUCAACACAAAGCCCUUAUAGCUUGGCGGCAGUGAUUGAAGGAUUCUGUCAGUGAUAGCCUCUUGCGGGAGUUCAAUCCCCAGCUCAGCUAGACGGUUUGAGUACCCAGACAUUUUGAGCACAUGUUCACUGACAGACGAAUUCUCCUCCAUCUUGCAAGCAUAGAAUUUAUCGGAGGUCUCAUACCUCUCGAUCCGGGCAUUCUUCUGAAAGAUAAACUUCAACUCCUGGAACAUCUCAUAUGCUCCAUGACGCUCAAAGCGACGUUGAAGUCCUGGUUCUAAGCCAUACAAGACUGCACAUUGAACUACUGAGUAGUCCUCCUUACGUGUUAACCAAGCGUUCUUAACAUCCUGAUCAGCCGUAGCGGGUGGUUCAUCUCCUAGCGCAGCAUUAAGGACAUAAUCCUUCUUCCCAGCUUGUAAGAUUAGCUUAAGAUUACGAGCCCAGUCUACAAAGUUGCUUCCAUCAUCUUUCAACUUAGCUUUCUCUAGGAAUGUGUUAAAAUUCAGGGUGACUGUCGCAUGAGCCAUGAUCUACAACACAAAUAUAUUCAAAGUGGACUUAGACUAUGUUCAAGAUAAUUAGAGUUUAACUUAAUCAAUUCACUUGCUAAACUCCCACUCAAAAAGUACAUCUCUCUAGUCAUUUGAGUGGUUCAUGACCCACUUACACUAGCUCAAGUCCGAUCAUCACGUGAGUUGAGUAUAGUUUCAGUGGUAAGCAUCCGUAUGCUAAUCAUAUCAUCUAUAUGAUUCAUGAUCGACCUUUCGGUCUCAUGUGUUCCGAGGCCAUGUCUGCACAUGCUAGGCUCGUCAAGCUUAACCCGAGUGUUCCGCGUGUGCAACUGUUUUGCACCCGUUGUAUGUGAACGUUGAGUCUAUCACACCCGAUCAUCACGUGGUGUCUCGAAACGACGAACUGUAGCAACGGUGCACAGUCGGGGAGAACACAAUUUCGUCUUGAAAUUUUAGUGAGAGAUCACCUCAUAAUGCUACCGUCGUUCUAAGCAAAAUAAGGUGCAUAAAAGGAUUAACAUCACAUGCAAUUCAUAAGUGACAUGAUAUGGCCAUCAUCACGUGCUCCUUGAUCUCCAUCACCAAAGCACCGACACGAUCUUCUUGUCACCGGCGCCACACCAUGAUCUCCAUCAACGUGUCGCCAUCGGGGUUGUCGUGCUACUCAUGCUAUUACUACUAAAGCUACAUCCUAGCAAAAUAGUAAACGCAUCUGCAAGCACAAACGUUAGUUUAAAGACAACCCUAUGGCUCCUGCCGGUUGCCGUACCAUCGACGUGCAAGUCGAUAUUAUCUAUUACAACAUGAUCAUCUCAUACAUCCAAUAUAUCGCAUCAUAUCGUUGGCCAUAUCACAUCACAAGCAUACCCUGCAAAAACAAGUUAGACGUCCUCUAAUUUUGUUGUUGCAUGUUUUACGUGGUGACCAUGGGUAUCUAGUAGGAUCGCAUCUUACUUACGCAAACACCACAACGGAGAUAUAUGAAUUGCUAUUUAACCUUAUACAAGGACCUCCUCGGUCAAAUCCGAUUCAACUAAAGUUGGAGAAACUGACACUUACCGGUCAUCUUUGAGCAACGGGGUUACUCGUAGUGAUGAAACCAGUCUCUCGUAAGCGUACGAGUAAUGUUGGUCCAAGCCGCUUCAAUCCAACAAAACAGCGGAAUCAAAAAAGACUAAGGAGGGCAGCAAAACGCACAUCACCGCCCACAAAAACUUUUGUGUUCUACUCGAGAAGACAUCUACGCAUGAACCUAGCUCAUGAUGCCACUGUUGGGGAACGUCGCAUUGGAAACAAAAAAUUUCCUACGCGCAUGAAGACCUAUCAUGGUGAUGUCCAUCUACGAGAGGGGAUAUUCGAUCUACGUACCCUUGUAGAUCGCACAGCAGAAGCGUUAAGAAACGCGGUUGAUGUAGUGGAACAUCCUCACGUCCCUCGAUCCGCUCCGCGAACCGUCCCGCGAUCCGUCCCAUGAUCCAGUGCCGAACGGACGUCACCUCCGCGUUCAGCACACGUACAGCUCGACGAUGAUCUCGGCCUUCUUGAUCCAGCAAGAGAGACGGAGAGGUAGAUGAGUUAUCCGGCAGCGUGACGGCGCUCCGGAGGUUGGUGGUGAUCUAAUCUCAGCAGGGCUCCGCCCGAGCUCCGCAGAAACGCGAUCUAGAGGUAAAACCGUGGAGAUAUGUGGUCGGGCUGCCGUGGCAAAGUUGUCUCAAAUCAGCCCUAAAACCUCCGUAUAUAUAGGUGGGAGAGGGGGGCCUUGCCUUGGGGCUCAACGAGCCCCAAGGGGGUUGGCCGAGCCAAGGGGGGGAGUCCUCCCCUUCCAAACCGAAUCCAACUAGGUUUGGAAGGAGGAGUCCUUCCCCUUUUUCCCACCUCCUCUUUUUUUUCUCUUUGAUUUUCUUCCUAUGGCGCAUAGGGCCUUCUUGGGCUGUCCCACCAGCCCACUAAGGGCUGGUGCGCCACCCCCAAGGCCUAUGGGCUUCCCCGGGGUGGGUUGCCCCCCCCCCCGGUGAACACCCGGAACCCAUUCGUCAUUCUCGGUACAUUCCCGGUAACUCCGAAAACCUUCCGGUAAUCAAAUGAGGUCAUCCUACAUAUCAAUCUUCGUUUCCGGACCAUUCCGGAAACCCUCGUGACGUCCGUGAUCUCAUCCGGGACUCCGAACAACAUUUGUAACCGACCAUAUAACUCAAAUACGCAUAAAACAACAUCGAACCUUAAGUGUGCAGACCCUGCGGGUUCGAGAACUAUGCAGACAUGACCCGAGUGACUCCUCGGUCAAUAUCCAAUAGCGGGACCUGGAUGCCCAUAUUGGAUCCCACAUAUUCUACGAAGAUCUUAUCGUUUGAACCUCAGUGCCAAGGAUUCAUAUAAUCCCGUAUGUCAUUCCCUUUGUCCUUCGGUAUGUUACUUGCCCGAGAUUCGAUCGUCAGUAUCCGCAUACCUAUUUCAACCUCGUUUACCGGCAAGUCUCUUUACUCGUUCCGUAAUACAAGAUCCCGCAACUUACACUAAGUCACAUUGCUUGCAAGGCUUGUGUGUGAUGUUGUAUUACCGAGUGGGCCCCGAGAUACCUCACCGUCACACGGAGUGACAAAUCCCAGUCUUGAUCCAUACUAACUCAACGAACACCUUCGGAGAUACUUGUAGAGCAUCUUUAUAGUCACCCAGUUACGUUGCGACGUUUGAUACACACAAAGUAUUCCUCCGGUGUCAGUGAGUUAUAUGAUCUCAUGGUCAUAGGAACAAAUACUUGACACGCAGAAAACAGUAGCAACAAAAUGACACGAUCAACAUGCUACGUCUAUUAGUUUGGGUCUAGUCCAUCACGUGAUUCUCCUAAUGACGUGAUCCAGUUAUCAAGCAACAACACCUUGUUCAUAAUUAGAAGACCCUGACUAUCUUUGAUCAACUGGCUAGCCAACUAGAGGCUUGCUAGGGACAGUGUUUUGUCUAUGUAUCCACACAUGUAUAUAAGUCUUUAUUCAAUACAAUUAUAGCAUGGAUAAUAAACGAUUAUCUUGAUACAGGAAUUAUAAUAAUAACUAUAUUUAUUAUUGCCUCUAGGGCAUAAUUCCAACAGGCCCGUCUCGCGUUGACGCGGUCGUGGUUGCAUCACGUCUCCUCUAUGGAUCCCGUUGCUACUGAGCUCAACGACGGAUUUGAGUCGGUGGGAUGGCGGUGACGGGUGCCAGUGGGUAUGGCGUGGUCGGGUGCAAGGGCGACAGUUGCAUCGGGAGCAGGGGACCGGGAGCAUGGGUGAUCUUUUUUUAUUUUUAGAUCCAGGGAUGUGUGUGUGUGUGUGUAUAUUUUUGCUAAGUCACCUACUUACAAUCUGACCCCACUUGUACAAAAAGUGAUUAACCUCGCUAAAUCAUCCUAUUAGUGCUUUUUGCAACAAGUUUACUACUAGGAUGAUGUUUUUUUGUAACGGAUUAAAAAGUUGAUAGUUUUCUGCAAACCUAACCACAAAUAUGCUAGUUUCUUGCAAUUAAAACGGGGACGUUUGUCCACCCAGCAUGCCACGUUGGCGUUUUACGACCCCACUUGUCGGAAAAAAGGUCAAACGAGCCUAAACGGCCGAUCAGUGUUUUUUGCAACUACUUAAGAGAUUUUUUUAUGUUCUCCGCAAUGGGUUAACAAGUUGGUAGUUUCCUGCAAACCUAGCCACAAAUAUAGUUACUUUUUGCAAUUGACUCGUUUGAAAGGCUCUGAUGGAGGCACCCAAGCUGCCGCCGCCGCCUAAGCGAGCGAAGCGAGGCAUGGGAGGAAAGAGGCGUAGCUGCGGCAAGCCGACAAUGGCGGGUUAGAAGAUUAUAACAGGUUUGGGUAUAGGGCUGCCCACAUCAAAACCAAAUGUUGAUGGGUCUUGAAGGGAAGACCCUCGGAUGAUCAAAUCCUACAAGGAUACAACGUAAAGACCUUGGGCGAUCAAAUUCAACAUGGAUUCAACCCCGCCACAGGGCCUAACUAGCACCACGUGGCGGGCCAGUAGCCCACCACAUGUCGUCCAGGCAGCAACCACUCUAUCCAAAUGUCGGUGCAGCAGACAUACACGAGCAAGACUCGACCAUCCAGAUCCGGCCAGGGAGAAAUCUCCAAGGCCUCCUGCCACCCAAACCCUAGAUCCCACCCAGCACUUGUCACCGAAGCCAAGCACGCCAUCACCUCAAGUUAUCGGCCACCCAACUCUGAGCCAACGGUUGCCCCGCGCGCCGCGACAUCGUGGCAGCUACGCCCGCUAAUCUAUAGUGCACACUACCGAGCCACAAUGGCUGCUCCGCCCCCUUUACCAACCUCAUCUUUCGUAGAGAAAGGCCGCCAUCCCGGUGCAACUUGCAAGCCGUCCACCCGCUGACAAACAGCUGCAACGAAAAAGGCCUGCGAGAAAAAUUGCGCCAACCCUUUCAAAUAAAAUAAAAUAUGCCAAGGCAAGUAGGGAAGAGCAAUCCCCAUUGCCAUCGUCACGAGGCCAAGAUUUGUUGAAGCUGACCAUCAGCAUCGACGAGGAGGGGGGAGACGCUAGAGUUCAGUAAUGAAAUGUGUAUUAUGUGAUGCAAAUAUCUUGAAACGAGUUUUUAUGCGUUGAAAGAUGUAAACAUCAUUGACACUUUGCGCUCCCAUUGAACGACACACUCGAUUGGAGCACAUUCCGCGUUGGCGGUGCUGGAGAAAGACGUGCGGAAGCUAAAAGAAGUCCUGCACACGGAGCCAGUCAAGUAUGACAUCUUCCAUAUGAUGGUGUCCAUAGUUUGGUUUUAGCAGCAUGAACUACGACAGUAGGCGAGUAGCAAUGUAGCACUCGCUCAUCAUCCACCUUCGUGUAAGAUCUUUGGUCUGAACUCUGAAGGAAGGAAGGAGCGGAUACAGUAUUGUAAACUGACCUGGAAUAGACUAGUCGAAGUGCAAAUUUAUUCUUGACUUGGCAAGAAAAGGGGGAGAAAAGAUAUGUGCUCCUGACAUUGUUGAACAUGGCAAUAGUACAUUGGCAUGUGUGUACGACGAAUGGACUGACACAUGUAGAAAGAUCCCUGACGUUAUUACUGAUCUUUCACUAAGAUUUUCAUAACUGAACCACGAUUUUACAGUCCAGUACUACAACUACUAACUGAGAUCUAGGUAAUGCUUGACAGUACAGUGUACUACAAUAUUACGAGGACAGUUCUUCAGCAAACAUCAAUCCGUCGUAGUCUAGGUGGUUAGGAUACUCGGCUCUCACCCGAGAGACCCGGGUUCAAGUCCCGGCGACGGAAAGUUUUUCCUGUUUUUUUUUUUCGUUUUUUUUCGCUUUUAUUUUGCUGUAUUUGGUGAAUCAUAUCCAUACAUUUACAAUACCAAAAACUGAUCUCCUCAUUUCCAUCCAUCCAGAUGACCAAAGAUGAAACAUGUAAAACCCACAUAUAUACGAUACAUUGGUACAAACUUUACAAUUCACUUGUAUUUUGUAGCAUCAUGACAAUACCAAAACAUUUCAUCUAAAGCCCCGCUUGGAAUAGGGUUACAUUUAUACACCUGUAUUACUUUUACAAAUGUAUAUUACCGACCACGUGUGAUUUUUAACCGAAAAUGAAAAAGACUGAUUGAGGUUUGUAUUUUUUAUAGGUGUAAAAGUGUGAGAAACGGUAAUCCAAUCAGGCCUUAAGUUAAGAAAGGAAAGACCACCGCCAAGAAAAAUAAAAGGGCUCUUGCUAGGCGUUUGAAGUGUUGAGAGCAGUCAGCCCUUUCCUGCCUGACAAAUGUACUUAAUUUUUCUGGUUCGGCAACUGCCCUUUUUACCCUGGCCCAAUGUGGCCAGUCCAUUAUUUUGCAUGUGCCAUUUUUUGGCAGGCUUUCCGUCUUGCCAUGCUUCUAGAGUAGAUGUUUGUGAUAAUUGGGUUCGGUUGAACGAUGUUGCUUAUUUCAUGGGUUCUAGAGUGUUGAAAGGUUAGUCAUCGCCGUUUUUUCGUGUGUUUCCCGUAACUCACGUUAUUUCCAUAAACUACCUCUCCAUCGUGAUAUUUCUCUCGAGACUCUUACCUCUCCUCGCGAUCUCCUUGCGUAUCCUGACCAAUUUCUUUCCAUAAUUUUGUUUUCUCUCUCGAUUCCCUGUAGGUGAGGCCGUGAGAGGAGGCGGUGUUGGUCCGCGGCCUUCAGUACGAGGGCACCGUCGUGGGCAGGUCCUAGAAUAUGCACGCCUUAGGCUACCGCUGUCUGACGGCGGUUGGGCUCCGCUUCAUCCGUAUGAAGGACAACGUUGGGAGACCCCUACAUCCUCUUGUAUGGGUGGAUGAGGGGUAGACUUACAUGGGCACAAGUCAGUUUACACGGCUUGUUACCUAAGUCGAUCCAUGACCAACCUUUUCAUCCAACCAUGGUAUCUAUAGAUCCAUGGCCCACCUCUUCUUCCGAUGGGCUUAAAGAUACCAUUCGCCAAAAAAACGAGGAAAAAAAACUCUGAAGGUCCAGAGAAUUUUGGACAGAUGGAGUGAUACGUAAUGGUUGAGGGACUAAAACGUAAAGCGGAAAAUAGAGAGUGGAGUGGGUGGGGGCACUGCCGCACUGGGCAACGGUAGGGGGGGUCGGGACUCGUGAAGGCCGCCGCAGUAGAAAUUCCCCAUUUCUUCCCGUCAAAUCCCUAGAACCCAAACCCCUCGAUCCAGAUCGCGGCAGAUCCGUGCAGCGGCAGCAGGCGGGGAGGAGGAGGAGGAGAUGGAGCAUCACCACCCGCCGCCGCUCCCGCAGCAGCACGGCGACCAGUACCGGCCGCUGGUGCUCUCCCCGCAGCCCGACCACGCCCACGCCCUUCUGUACCAGCCGCCGCAGCAGGCGACGCCGCCGCCGCCUCAGCAGCACCACCACCCCUCGCUCGCCUCCCAUUUCCACCUCCUCCACGUAAGUGGCGAUCCAAUUCUUCAGAAAGCCAGCAUGUUUUUCUUCUGGCACGGACCUUGUGUCGAGCCAGUUGGGAUCCGUUGCUGGCCAUUUUUUGAUGUAGCAUUAGUUAACCAUCCGUUUUUGGUUUGCCGUCUCAAGUUUAGUUUGAAGAUUGUAUCGUUACCGUGCAGAUUUGUUCUUUUGUCAAGCAUACUAGAAAUGAUCCGAGAAUUAUUCUUCAACAGUAGCAAUAAUAGGAUGGUAUGUCGUCCUUUUACAGUUACACAGAAGUGUGUUCUUGUUCCUCUUAAAACAAAUAUGCAUGCCGUUGAUUCUGUAUCAUUAGUCGAUUCAUGGCAUGAGUUUACGGUUUCCUUAAACGUACCUCGUGUAUGGAAAGCCAACCGGCAUCGAGUCGGAAACAUAUUUAAGCAAGCACUGCUAUGGAUACAAGUUUUCUUGGCACAUUUAACUGGAAAAAUAUUUAGUUGUAUGAUAUGAUUGCAAAAUGACACUGCAAACAGAAGCAAUCCUCUGUACCAAGUACCUACUGCAAAUGUUUGUUUGUCUGAACGGUGAACACCAAAUGGACCUGCGGCAACCCCUGCUAAGUCGUGAUCCUGGUAGCAAUAUCUGAUCGUGGAUCACCUGAGAUCCCAUUUUCCAGACACUAAUUUGGGAAAUGGUGAAACUAAAUCAUUUAUUCGACAAAAUAAAGCAACCUACAGACGUAUGUGGGGUGGGGAUGCUUACUACUUGGCUAUGCUGUCACGGCUGCAGUAUGGCCAUGUCCGCUGCAGCAACAUGGUUUGUGUGUUACCAUUCCAGGAAUCACUUAUAAAGCAUCUAGCUUGGAACAAAUUGGAAUAUAGUUAAUUUCUGUUUAAAUAGAAGGUCUUGAUACUGUCAAUGUCAUAUCAAGGCAGAUUUGCGAUUGGCCAACCAUAGGUGCUGGCAGUGUGAGAGUAGAGGGACUAUGUUGAAGAAUAUAACUGUGGGGCUGUAACGAUGGAAUAGAAAAGGCAAUGCUUAGGUUAACCAGGGGAAACACAAUUUUGAAGCUAAGCCUAUUAAAUGAGAAUAUCAUGGUGUCAUUAUAGAACUUUGUUAAGCCGGUGAUAACAUUUUGCGACUAUCACAUUUUGUAGUUGCAUCAAGAAAUGAGGCUUGCUUUCUUUGCAUUAUCGUUUGACAGCCAAGGUUUUUUUUGUGCCUUCCUUUUUUUUACCGGGGCCCACCGGUAAAACCAAUUCCCAAAAAUACCAGAAAUCUCAGUGUUUAACCCCCUGAAAAAUUAUAAGGAAAUUUGAAUUAUUAUUUUUUAGUAAUGGAGUAAAUACAUUUAUACCCUAUAUAAAACUGAAACAAAGCGGUGGUGAGAUGGUCGGCACGGAACCCGCUUAAGCCGAGCUCUUGAGUUCGAUUCCUCGGAGCUGCUUUUCAGUUUUGCCUUCUUUUCCCUCCCUCGGUUGGGCCCUCAUUGCAUUGAUAGUUAAAAAACCUGGCAAAAAAUCGGAGGCGUGGCAAUUUGGCCCCGUGACCACCAUGGACACCCGCGGCUUGCACGAUACUGCAUAUCACUCUAACACUCGCCUGAUUAUGUUAAUAUUGGCAUCCUUAGUAAUACUGGUUCCAUUUUUUUAAGUUCAAAUUUAAAUUUGUCCGAAUUUUUCCGGCCGGUAACUGUGUUUCUGGAGGGGGUUACCGAAAACCGGGCCGAGAGAAAAAGCCUUGUUUUAAACUAGCACAUCUUAGCAAUAAAGCUAACCAUCAUUUUCCUAUCUUUGUUAAAGUACUAAGCAGUAUGGGUGAUGUUUUUUUUUCUUGUUACAUCAGUUGGUGACAAGAUUAGGUGAUGCGAUUGCAACAGGCACAAGGGAUCAAGCUUUUGAUGCAUUGGUAAGAAUUUCGUAUAAUCUCUUAUUUUCUUUUGUUGAAGAAAUAAUGAUGGGAUAAUGGUAGUAUGGUAGAUGACUGCUUCUGGUCUAAGAAAAGUUACAUAUUAAGUUCGUUUAAUAUGAAAAAGUAAUACAAUAAAAUUAAACUAUUUAACUCCAGAGAUUCGAGGAUGUUUUGGUCUCAUACUUAUCUGUGCCAAGCUAAUAAACUAUACUAUCUUCGUAUUGAAUUGUCUUUUAUAGAAUUUUGAAGCCUGAGAUAUGAUUACUCAGAGCAUGGUAGUCUAGUAACCUGGGUUGUUUUAUUUGUUUAUGCAGGUUGAAGAAUUGACCAGUCAAUUCGCCAGGAGCCAACAGUUAUUGAACUCCAUUUCAGGAACACUAAGCUCGAAAUCUGUUGUAAGUUUCUACACAUGACUUCAUAUGUAGUAGCUUUUCUUAUAAUUAUAACAAUAAUUUAGUGUGAUGAUAGAAAUACAAUGUUGUUUCAAGUUUCAACUAGGUGGCAUGUUACUUUUGUCUAAUCUAGUCAGGCUUAACUGCAGGGGUCACAUGCUAGACAGGUUAGUUUGGUUGCACAUAUAAUAUGCGAUAUAUGAAUAUUGGGGCCCAUUUGCAAAAUUACCAAAAUGCACCAAUAGUUCUAAAAGUGUUAAGCCUGGUAGCUUGAAAGUUGAAACACUAGCAGAUUGGUUGAGCAGCUUAGUCGUACCCUGGUCUUUUCUUUCUCUCCUGAAAGGACCAGUAACCUGAUAUUUUAAGCCAAAUACUGUAUUUGUUAUAAAAUGAAGCUAUUUCAAGUUUAGAGCUCACUCACAUCAAAAUAGAUGCCCUUUUAGAGUUGGGCACAGGAUUUAAGAGUGUGUGAAAUGUUGAUGUUGGCUAUCUCUUUCCCAUCCCAAGGGCAUUAAAUUACCUCUUUUUUCCUACGCAAAGCAAAGCAUGCAAAUGCAACGACAGGAGGAAUUAGUUAGCUAUUUUCUUGAUGACAUUGACGAAGGGCAAAGUAGGAACACGGCUAAAACUAAAUUGUAAGGGUAAAAGAAUGAAAAAAAUUGAAGAGGCUGAACGGACAUCCAUUUGAUAUGGAGUGAGUAUUAUUUUAGUUGCAUUAAUGUACUCUAGACAUCUAGUCACAGUUACGAGAGUAACUUGCACACUAGGCGAUCUGCUAUUUUUGUUUUCUUUGAAGUAUAAUCUGCCAAUAUUAAAUUGUUAAUAUUUGGUGGAUAUUCAAUAACUACGGAGGUAAUAUCCAUAUUUGUGAUAAUUGACUCUCAUUGACAAUGCACACCUAGUUCGAAAAAUGUUCCCAAGAAGUUAAUAGGUUUCCAUUAUAAAUUUGGGGAUUUCUACAUAACUUCCUGCCUGGUUAUGGAUUUAGCGACAGCUCUAUCUAGGACUUUUUGGCUGGUUUAUCUUUGUAUCAGCUAAUAACUUUAAGGAGAAAUAUUCAGUUCUCAUUAUUCUGACCAUUGUUAUCUUGCUAAUGACGUGUGUAAAUCUAGGUGCUUUUGCGGUGUGAAAGAUGACAUAAUUCUUAUGGGUCUACACUCUACACCAGUGAAUCCUGUCCAAGCACUUAGAGUAGUGACCAGCCAGUCACUUAAAAGUACUGACCAGCUAAUGCCACUGAUAGUUCCAAUCCUAAGCCUCGAUUCUCACGGAAAGUGUUUCCUUUUGUUGCCAACAGACGGUUGAAGGACAAAUGCAAAGUUUGGAAGAAACACGACAGCUGCUUGAUCAAAGAAAGUAAGUGCUCAGUAAGCGCUCCAUUUAUCGACGCAACGUGCCAACAAUUUUUGUGAUCCAGCAGAGUUUUAUGCUAACCAUUGCCAUGUUCACCAGGGAUUUGAUGGCAAAAUACAAGACCUCAGUGGAAGACCUCCUUAAGGGUGAUCCAACAAGAUAGAAACGAUCUGUCAGCCGGACCCUUCGAACAUUGAUUAUGAUGGAGCUCGUUGCCACCACCGCCUGAAAUAAAAUUCCCAAUGGACGUGUCUUAUCAUGUAAAAAUGCUUGGAGUAGUCCAUGCAGAAGGGACAUGUAAUUUCGAAGUGGUGGUUACAAUGCUGCACUUGCGCGUUGGGUGCGUGUAUUCUGAGUUUUAGGCCAUGGUCCAUUUCCAUAAUCGCAUUACGCUGAAAUGGGCGAUGUGAACUUGUUUGAUGUCUAUCGGCAUGACAAUAAUGUGAGAACCCAAGAUCAGUUAGAUAACAAUCUUUGCUCAAAAAAGUUUGGCAUAAUAAUUUGGUGACAAGUCAUCGACAAUCGCAGAGGGGCAACUCUAGAAGGUUCCCCCAAACAGCCNNNNNNNNNNNNNNNNNNNNNNNNNNNNNNNNNNNNNNNNNNNNNNNNNNNNNNNNNNNNNNNNNNNNNNNNNNNNNNNNNNNNNNNNNNNNNNNNNNNNNGUUGAUAGGGCUACGACAAAAACUGGAUGCACUUCGUGUACAAAACGGACAAUCUCCCUCGAAGUAUCAGGGUUUCGAACGACAACUCAUCUCUUAUAAAGGGAUUUCAUUUUUUUUGAACUUAUUUGAACUCCAUACUUUUUGUGUGUUCAAAAUGCACCAUUCAAAGGCACAUCACAAAAUUUCAACAAUUUCUGACUUGAUUUGGUAUAUUUCGUGCAUUUACUUAUUUUUUUGAGCUAGUUGACCCUGAAAUUGAAAAGCACUACAAAUGAACUCUGAAAAUGUUGAAAGUUGGCAUGCUAUCAUCAUUUCACCCACAUAGCAUGUGUUAAAAAGUUGAGAGGAAUACGACAAAAACUGGAUGCACUUCGUGUACAAAACGGACAAUCUCUCUCGAAGUAUCAGGGUUUCGAACGAGAACUCAUCUCUUACAAAGGGAUUUCAAUUUUUUGAACUUAUUGGAACUCCAUACUUUUUGUGUGUUCAAAAUGCACCAUUCAAAGGCACAUCACAAAAUUUCAACAAUUUCUGACUUCAUUUGGUAUUCUUCGUGCAUUUACCUUUUUUGAGCUAGUUGACCUUGAAAUUGAAAAGCACUACAUAUGAACUCUGAAAAUGUUGAAAGUUGGCAUGCUAUCAUAAUUUCACCCACAUAGCAUGUGUUAAAAAGUUGAGAGGGCUACGGCAAAAACUAGAUGCACUUCGUGAACAAAACGGACAAUCUCUCUCGAGGUAUUAGGGUUUCGAACGAGAACUCAUCUCGUAAAAAGGGAUUUNNNNNNNNNNNNNNNNNNNNNNNNNNNNNNNNNNNNNNNNNNNNNNNNNNNNNNNNNNNNNNNNNNNNNNNNNNNNNNNNNNNNNNNNNNNNNNNNNNNNCAGGAGUUUCUUUAGUCCCGGUUGGUCACACCAACCGGGAAAACAUGACAUCCACGCGUCAGCAUGUGCCGAGAGCGUGGGGUUUUUUUUAUGGGAGGGGGUGUUGGAGGGUUAAUUUAGUGGUUUCACAUUGUGUUAGCUAGCUAAUAGAGAGAAGUGUCCUCUCUUUCUUCGUGCUUGGUCGACGCUAGCUACUAUACAUAUAGAGAGAACAUGAUGCUAACUAAUAAGAAAAUGAAGGAAACCAUUUAGAAUACUUAACAUCUUUUACAAUACCUAACGUCAUCUACCUAAGAUCCAAUCACAAAUAGUCCACAUGGUAUUCUCCGUCACUAGAUAUGACGUGGUCAAGAAGGAAUCCUGUCAAUUCCUCUUUAAUUGCUCGUAUGCCAUCAUCUGAUAGGGCUUUAUCCCGCUUCUUCCAGAUCUAAUUUAAAGAAGGGGGUCAAUACAUGCAUAUAUAUGAAUAAAACUCAACACAAUUGAUGCUAAUAUAUAAAAUAAAAUUGUGAAUAUUAUUUACGUAUUUCAAAUUGUUCGUGAGAGAUGCCCCGUCCAGAGGUCGAGAGGCGAAUGAACUCGCAUACGUAGAAUGCACAUUUUUCAGUCCCACCUACCUGGUACAAGCACUUUACGAGAAUAUAUAGAGUUUAAUCAAACUGAUAAGCAAGUAUGGUAAUGAUAUAUUGAUGAAAAUCUGAAUCAAUUAGAGAUGCGCGGAACUAGCUAGCUAGUACUACUUACUGGGGGUGCGUAAAUUGUAACUCUUUGGGUAUACCGCGAACCUUAUUGGUGAACUUCUUCCGAAUCCUGCGAGGCAAAGAAAAUGAUUACUUGAUAUCAGAAAAUUAACGAAAGUUGCAUGCCGGUAUGGUCCCGGUAUUGAGUGAACUUACUUCUUGAGCAUUGAAGUCAUGUCCGCAUAAUCCUCGGGAUCUCUACGUCUCGACUCUCGAGUCUAAGACACGUACUUUUCCCGCGUCAAGCUUAAUGGUUAGCAGAAUCCAGUGGUAACUGUACACACAUAUAUAACUCAUCAAUUACAUUUACUAAUUAACCUCGAGUAAGCGAAACCGAGUAUACAGAGAAGACAUCAACACUCACUUGAAGUUAUAAGAAAAAAGUAUUUCCCUUUUGUUUUGAUUUACAAGCAACGAAUUUAGGAACUUAACCUCGAUCUCUUUGGUUUCAUUUCGUAUCGACAAUACAUUUACCGAUUCUGGGCUAAUGAACCCAAUGUCGAAGAUUCCUGCUUUUUUUAAUUCGACGAUCUUCAAUCUGCAUAAUAUGUAUAGUGAGGAUAAUUAUAGAUACAUGCAAUGAACGAGCUGAGCUAGAGACUUAACUAUAGAAGUAAUACUUACAAACAGUACGAAGUCAUGAGUUGUUUGUCGAGGGCCAGGUCAUUGUAUAACUGAAGUAACUCCUCAAAUUCAACAAGCACCACUGAAGCUCCAAUGAAUUUGUGAUCUUUGUUCACUCUCAUAUACACAACCGUUUUCUCCCUGAAGAUGUUCAUGUACCACUCAUGCAAUUCGUGCAUCCUCGGUGUUAGAGAAGGAUGACCAGGUUUGACGAGAGGCUCCCCGAGCACGAAUUUAUAUUGUUCUUCAUUUAUUACCUCAGCCAUCUUAAAAAAUAUUGAAUCGCUCACGUCAUCACCAGGAUUGGUACCGGGCAGCAACCCCGAAUCAUUAGCGACGAUGAUAUUGCUAGACACUUUGAGCGGGGGCACGAUUGCUUCUUCUGUUCGCCGAGCUGGGGAAUUGUUUUCCCACUUCUUCGUUUUGCUAACAUUGCGUCACUGCUAGCCUCCAGAGCGGCGGCGGAGUGUGUCUUCCGCUUGAGAGAAGGAGGAGGAGGAGGCAUCUUUCUUACUUGUGUAAUUUUUGGCGAAGCGGUGACAAAGUAUGUCUUCCGCCGUUGCGGAGGAGGUAGACUGCUCGGACGCUCCUGAGGAGGAGCCGGAGGAGGAGGACUGCUGUGACGCGCUGGAGGAGGAGCCGAAGAAGGAGGCGGAGUGCUCCGGCGCGCCGGAGGAGGAGCCGAAGAAGGAGGCGGACUGCUCCGACGCGUUGGAGGAGGAGCUGAAGAAGGAGGCGGAGUGCUCCAACGCGCUGGAGGAUCAGGAGCCGUAGGAGGAUGACUGCUUCGACGCGCUGGAGGAGGAGCCGAAGAAGGAGGCGGAGUGCUCCGACACGCCGGAGGAGGAGCCGAAGAUGGAGGCGGACUGCUCCGACGGGCCGGAGGAGGAGUCGAAGAAGGAGGCGGAGUGCCCUCACACGCCGGAGACGAAGAAGAAGGCGGAGUGCCCUCACGCGUCGGAGUAGCCGGAGUGCCCUGAUCAUUUGCCGGAGGAGGAUGAGGAGUGCCCUGAUCAGUCAUCGGAGGAGGAUGAGGAGUGCCCAGAUCACACGCCGGAGGAGGAGGAGGAGGCGUCCAGUUUGGAAGAUUGAUGUACUCCUUCGGCCAUAGACAUGAACUCCUCAAAACAUGAACCAGCUUAUUAUUCUAAUCUUCACCUGUAGGGUGGUCAAGCUCGAGCUGCUCAAAAUCCUUAUUUACUUCAUCCACCAUCACAAGAGCAUAAUCACGUGGACUCGGACGACGGUGAAAAGUUAUGUUGGAUUGAGGAUGUGCAACAAUGCCGAUAGCAGCCUUGAAAGUGAGGUUCCGACAUUUCGUCAAAAGCUCGCAAGGUUGAGAAUCCGUGAUAGUAUCCACGGGGUAGCUAGGAGCCGUGAAGUCAGGCUGAACGAGCUCCGUGGAAGCCACGCUGCUUCUCCGCUGAGAUGGCGGAGUAAAUUCUGGGGUAGUUUCGUGCCGCUGAGAUGGUUGGUCGACAGCUUGCUGGCUGUGUCGUUCCUCUAGAAUUUAUAGUCUUGCAUUGAUCUUCUUCAUGUCGCUCAGCUCCGCUUUCCUCUUUCUCUCGCGGCUCCUGUAACCGGUUGCACCGGGAAACCCAACCUUCCACGGAACGUAGCCUGGUGUGCCUCAUGUUCGUCCAGGGUGCUCAACAUUCCCUAGGUCCUCGGUCUUCGUCCUUCUCUCUUUCGGGAAAGAACGCCCCUUCCUGCACUGCGGUGAUACACUGCUGAAGCUUGUUGAUGGGUGUUGCAAGUUGCUCGCCCGUCCAACAACACUCGCCUGUAUCAGGGUCCAAAGUUCCCCCAACUCUGAAGAACCAAUUCCUUGAACGGUCGGGCCAGUUCCAUGUCUGUGGUUGGACCCCUUUAGCAAUCAGGUUUUUCUCAUCUUUGUCCCACAACGGACGGCCUUUGAGGUAGCCACCUGACCCCGUGUGAUGGUGAUACUGCUUCUUUGCAGCACUGUUCGUGUUUCUCUCUGACAUUUCCUUACUCUUGUCCGAUGACUUGUAGGCCACAAAUGCGGGCCAUUGAUCUCUAAUCUUCGCAAAUCGGCCGACGAAUUCUGGAGUCUUCCCUUUGCCGACAUACUUUAAUUUCAACUCUUUCUUCCACCUCCUGAAUAGUUUUGCCAUCUUCUUAAGUGCACACACCUUGACCAAUGGCUCUAUAACUGGCUUAUUAGGAUCCUCCUUUGGCGGUAAGGUGAAAUUUUCCUUCAACGCGGUCCAAAGAUCAUCUUUCAGCCUAUCGGUGACAUAAUCACCGUUAGGUACGUUGUCGCCCUUAGGCUUAUUCCAUUGCUUGAUGCUGAUCGGGAUGUUGUCCCUGACAAUAGCUCCGCACUGAGUAGAAAAUGCGUCCCUGGUCCGCUUGGGUUCAAUCGGUUGGCCAUCGUCCGAUAGUUCUGUGAUCGUGAACUUUUGACCCUUGCCCAACCUUUUCCUCGGGCCUCGUCUCGUUACCGAAGUUUGGCUCGAUCUGGACUUUUCAAUAGCUCCCUCCUCCAUUCGGUCACUGGAGCCGUCAUCAUGGUCUCCAUACUCCGGGAUUCGGUAGUCACCGAAGCCAUCAUGAUAAUGUCCUUCCUCCGGGAUUUGGUAGUCACCGAGUUCGCUGAGCAAAAGUCGAUACUACCGUCGUCGUGGAUUAUAUCCCCCAAAAUUUCUUCUUUUUCCAUGUCUCUUGAAAUAUCCAUUGUUUCUGCAAAUAUUUCAAAGUGGAGGAAGCCCUUUAUACAUAAUCCAAAAUAUUAACAUAAAAACUUAAUUUAUAACUUAAUCUAAAUCUAAAUAUUUUUUUAGAAUAAUUUUUAUAACUUUAUUUUCUAUUGAAAUUGAAUCUAGUCUAAAUAUUUUUAUAAUUUUUAUAACUUGUAUCACAUUUGGGAGUUCAAAAAUGUACCCAACAUAUUCUAAUAUGACUGUCAUACACACACAUGGAUUCACAAUUAGACUACGUCUUCGAACACACAUGGAUUCGCAAAUAGUGAGAUGGAGAGAUCGAUGGACGUGCUACUGGUGCGUCCACGGGCGACGACGGUGGGCUUCGGAACGAUGACGGGUGACGGGCGACGACGGCGGCGGCGAUGGGCUCGAGGGCGACGACGGCGACGACGACGACGACGACGAUGGGCUCAGGGGCGACGGCAACGACGAGCGGCGACGGGCGACGGCGACGACGUGCGGCGACGGACGACGAAGACGAAGGCGAUGGGCUCGGGGACAACGGCGACGACGACGACGACGACGGGCUCGGGAUCGAUGGCGACGGUGAUGGGCUCAGGGUGAUGAUGGGCUCAUGAGCAACGGCGAUGGUGAUGCGGGCUUGUGGAGAAGGCGUGGGCCGGCGGGGGCGGGCUCGGGUGCGACGGCGAUGAAGAGAGAACGAGGGGAAUGGAAGUUGGUGGAAAUUUCCACAACUCCCACAAUAUACGAACACCUUUGUUCCAGUUGGUGGCCCAAACCGGGACCAAAGCACACCUUUAGUCCCGGGUUGUUACACCAACCGGGACUAAAGGUCAAUUUCGACAACCCCGCACUAUAUGCAAAACUUUUCGUUUCGGUUUGUGACACCAACCGGGACCAAAGCCACACUUUCGCUGGCCCAAAAGGGCGGGAAGAAGAUUACUUUCGUACCGGUUGGUGGCUAUAACUGGGACAAAAGGUUCGUCGGCCCAUUUGAUAUUUUUCAUACAUUUACUGAUUUUUGCUUUGAGCUAAAUGACCCUUAAAUUGAAAAGCACUACAAAUGAACUCUGAAAAUGUUCAAAGUUGGCAUGGUAUAAUCAUUUCACGCACAUAGCAUGUGCUAAAAAGUUGAGAGGAUUGCCGCAAAAACUGGAUGCACAUCGUGUACAAAACAGACAAACUCUUUCGAAGUAUGGGGGUUUCAUACGAGAACUCAUUUGUUAUAAAGGGGUUUCAUUUUUUAACUUAUUUGAACUCAAGACUUUUUGUGUGUUCAAAAUGCACCGUUCAAAGAUACAUCAUCAAUUUUCAAGUAUUUCUGACUUCAUUUGGUAUUUUUCAUGCAUUUACUGAUUUUUUAAGCUAAAUGACCCUUAAAUUGAAAAGCACUACAAAUGAACUCUGAAAAUGUUGAAAGUUGGCAUGGUAUAAUCAUUUCACCCACAUAGCAUGUGAMUAAAAAAUUGAGAGGGUUGCGGACAAAAACUUGAUGCACUUCGUGUACAAAACGGACAAUCUCUUUCAAAGUAUCAGGGUUUCAUACGAGAACUCGUCUGUUACAAAAGGGGGUUCAUUUUAUUGUAACUUAUUUGAACUCAAGACUUUUUGUGUUCAAAAUGCACCAUUCAAAGACACAUCAUCAAUUUUCAACUAUUUCUGACUUCAUUUGGUAUUUUUCAUGCAUUUACUGAGUUUUUAAGCUAGAUGACCCUUAAAUUGAAAAGCACUACAAAUGAACUCUGAAAAUGUUGAAAGUUGGCAUUGGUAUCAUUAUUUCACCCACAUAGCAUGUGCUAAAAAAUUGAGAGGGUUGCGGCAAAAACUGGAUACACUUCAUGUACAAAAGAGACAAUUUCUUUCGAAAUAUCAGGGUUUCAUACGACAACUCAUCUAUUACAGAGGGGUUGUCWWUUUUUUANNNNNNNNNNNNNNNNNNNNNNNNNNNNNNNNNNNNNNNNNNNNNNNNNNNNNNNNNNNNNNNNNNNNNNNNNNNNNNNNNNNNNNNNNNNNNNNNNNNNUAUAUAAACUGAGCAAUAAAUAAACCUUGCUAGGCCAGGUCGGGAAGUUAGAUGGACUGGUCAGGUGUAUAUAAACAUGUACGUGGUGUAUAUAAACCGAGCAAAAAAUAAACCUUGCUCAGAUUGUCUCCAGUCAAAAAAUUAUUUUGAACCAAUAACCAGACAGGCACCAAGUAUGCCAAACUUAGCUCCUUUGAUUUGAUCCAUCCAAUAUGCCGUUGUUGUGCUCACCCAGAAACGUUUCGGAAUCUAUUCAACAUGGAUUCUCAGUCAAAUUAACCAGAAUUAGGACCCCCGAAAGCAAAUCAAAUCAAAAGCUCAUCUGGCUGGAGAGGGUACGUUCAUAGGAUAUCCAUGCAGAACCCGUCACCCUUGGCGCUCUGCGCGGCUCUCCGCCACCGCCGAAAGACGGAUGAUGAUCGUCGUCCGCCCGACGCCGCAGCGGCUAUACCUACCUGCGCCGCGUGGGCACGUCGGUCGAUCUCCGGCCGGAAUCCCAACCCAAUCUUUCCGUCCGCAGCAUCCAUCUGCCGGGUCUUGCUUUUUCAAACCGGAUAUUUUGACCACGGCAUCUAUCUCAUCAUCUCUUUUUUUUUUCUUCUGCAAAUAGAGAGCAUGUUGAGGCCAUUCUGGUGUCUAAUAUAUGUUCUUUCUUCUCUCUCUGAGCGUGCUAUAGCUAGUAGUAGUAGCUGGUAUCCUCAAGACCUGAACCAUGAAUAUGCGAGUAUCCUGAGCAGUGAAGGAAUUUACUAGCUUAGCUGGGCCCGUAGCCGCUGGCGACGCUAUCAGGAAUCGAAUGCCAUCCGUUUUGCAGCUACUUAAAUAGCCGUCCGUUUCUUUACAGCCCAACCAACCAACCAAAAGCACAACCGUCUACUGUUUGCCGCGUCUCUGCACUUGCUCUCACUGGUCACUUGCCGACCAUGGACAACUCUUCAGAUGCUCACAGGUAUGGUGCCCACUGCUCCAUCUUCAUUGUUUUCUCUUUGUACGUGACUACGUGUGCAUGCCACAUUGCACACCAUAUAUACGUUUUCUUCUUGCUGACGAGGAGUUGUUGGGUGUGCAGCUGUCACCGGUGCGCGGCGUGCUACCGUCAGUUCAACCGGAUGGAGCACCUGGUGGAGCACAUGCGAUCGUCGCACCACUCCCGCCACGAGCCCCGCUGCGGCGUCUGCGGCAAGCACUGCCGCUCCCUCGACGCGCUCCGCGACCACCUCGGCUUCGGCGCCUCGCUGCCAUCCAAGCCCGCCUGCGCCACCGCCUUCGCCGCCCGCGGCUGCCCGCUCUGCCUCGCCGUCUUCCCGACCUCCGCCGCCCUCCGCGCCCACUACGCCGCAUGCAAGCUCACCGGCCGCCCCCCACCCUUCUUCGGUGCAGAGCCUGACCCGAAGCAUGUCGGAGGGUGGGGGCGUGCGAGGCGGCCGCGGAGGCGCGGUGGCGCUGGGGUGCAAGAUGGUGGGCGGCGGGAGCGACGGCACGCUGGACGUGUGCGCGCGCGUCUGCGUCGUCGACGAGCACGAGGCCGUCCUCUACGAGAGCUUCGUGAAGCCCCUCAUCCCGGUGACGCACUACCGGUACGAGACCACCGGCAUCCGCCCCGAGCACCUCCGCGACGCGCCCACGGUGAAGCAGACCAUGGCGCGGGUGCAGGACAUCCUCCUCAACGGCGACCGGUCCUACUCCUACUCCUCCUCCUCCCGCGGCGCCGCCCGGCUCCUCGUCGGCCACGGGCUGGAGCACGACCUCGACGCGCUCGGCAUGGACUGCCCGGCGCACUUCAAGCGGGACACGGCCACGUACCCGCCGCUGAUGAAGACCAGCGCCAGGAUCAUGAGCAACUCGCUGCGGUAUCUCACACGGAGCUGCCUGGGGUAUGACAUACAGACCGGCGGCCACCAUCACCCCUACGACGACUGCGUGGCCGCCAUGAGGCUCUACAAGAGGAUGCGCGCCAUGAGGCACCUGCACCUGCACGGCCGGCCCAAGGACGGUCACGAUGAUGAGUCCACGGCCAAGGCCUUCCCGGCGUGGAGGCAGCGAGAGCUGGAGCGCAUGUCGCCGGAGGAGCUCCUCGGGAUGUCCAAGCCCGACUACCAGUGUUGGUGCCUCGACGAUGACCGGCAAUAAUACUGUCGAGAGCCGGAAUUCGAAUCUUGGUUGGCGGUUUAAUUUACUUGGUCGUGACGAUGGAAAGAUACGAGAAAAUAAAAUCCACGUACCUCGGAUGGAUAGCUGCCGUACCUAGCGACGACGUGGUGGUCGAAUAAAUCACAGUUUUGUUUCGUUGGAACUAAGAACCACGUCGUUUUUCAUUG